UCCAAUUCCCACUAGCGUGAAUGUUGUUUAUACUUCAUACAUGAAAGGAAAUCGCCCUGCCACCAACCCUGGUUAAGACCGUGUUUGGUAGCCACUUAUUUUCGCUCUGUAAUGUCCACAUAUUUAAUCUACAGAUUUGGUCCCUGUCAAUCAAAUAUUUGGAUUGAAGAAAAACAGAAAAAAAGCAAAAAAGCCCCACACCCAAACGCAGUCUUAGCCCUCCAACUAACUCUUGCUGUUCCUACCAACUCCCGCACUGUAAAUACAUACAGGAAGACGGCAGUGGCGAACACCAAUCUUGCUGAGAGACUCAUAGCCAGAGGACUCGUUUAUUCUGGUUCAUGCUUAAAUCUACCGGGGCGCUGGAUUAAUCGAAGACUGGUUAAAUUAUAUAAGUAAUGGAGGUGACAGUUGCACAGAGGCUGCAGUACCCAAUAUGGAUUGAUUUGAAUAUGAAUAAAAGAAACCUACGGGGUUUCUUUCCGAUUUCUCGAAGACUACAGGAACGGCGGGGGCUUCAGAUGCUUGUUUCAAAUCAUUUGCAGCAUCAUAGAACUGCAAAUCGUCAUAGAUUAGCUUCUUUGGUGGUUUCUUGUUCUUACAGUAGUUCUCCAGGUACUUGCGAAGCUUUUUAGUCUCUUAUCAUGGUGGAGGAUUUAGUUUUAAAAAUUGUGGUUCUUCAGCUGAACUUUUUUUGAAUGAAUGAAGAUUGAGUUGGAUUGGGUAAAUA